rnacentral:RNase_P_RNA from 1 species
GCAGCAAACCGUUCUGUCGCUCCAUACCAUUGUGUACGGGGAGGAAAGUCCGGACAACACAGAGCACCAUACUUCCUAACGGGAAGAUGCCCGCGAGGGUAUAGUAACGUAACAGAAAAUAACCGUCCCGGCUUUGUUCUGAGCUUGUCGAAGGGCACCCGGGAUAAGGGUGAAAAGGUGGGGUAAGAGCUCACCGGGCCCCGUGGCGACAUGGGGUGCCGUACGUCUUAUGGGUUGAAAGACCAUGUAUACCGGCGCUGAGGACUGCUCGUCCGAUGCCGGGGGGUAGGUCGUUAAAGCUGUUCAGCAAUGAACGGCGUAGAGAAAUGACAGAAAACCGCUUCGUUUAUCUCUGUGAGAUUAAAGGACUGGUAACAGAAUCCGGCUUACAGGUUUGCUGCUUUU